GGGGGCGUAAGGAUUCGACGGGGGUUGUAGAUGCAGGAGUGGCAGGUCCAGGACCAUGGCCUGGUAAAAACAUGGAACGGCUAUAAACGCCAAACCUAAAUUAGCUCUCGCUGCUUAAUCUAAAGUAGCGCAUCCCUUCUUUCCCCGGCCGGGGGAAAGAUACGGGGUGACACUAAUCCGGUCUACUGCUUGAGGGGCCGCCCGGCCGCUAAAGCGGGAAUUUUAAGCGGGCUGGUGCUGAGGGAUCUUGCUCCGGGGAGCCCGAGGCGCGAGAAACAAAACCGGGACUAAGCUUGUAGAAACUCCUGUUGCUGGAUCUUCGGACGCGGGUUCGAUUCCCGCCGCCUCCACCA
rnacentral:tmRNA from 1 species